rnacentral:lncRNA from 1 species
AGGAGUUGUAGUUUUGAAGUUUGUGGUUUUUUCUUUUUACUCUUGGGUUUUGGAUUAAAGAGGUUUGUUUUAAUUAAUUAUGGUGUGUUGGCAUUGGGUCUCCAGUUGUCAAGCUGCGCUAGGAGAGAGAGAGAGAGGAGGGAUAUUGACUUACUGCCUUCCCCGGCGGGGGUGGGGGAGAGAUGUUUUUACUGCCUCUUUUCGGAUGCAGAUAGUGUCGGAGUAAGGAGCGCACUCUCGGUUCCAUCACUGGCACAGGUUGGACAAUAAAUCGUCACGCUACCUUCAUCCAGGUCGGGUGACAGAACUGUUUAUGGAGUAAAGGGAGAUUGGUUGACUUCCCCUCUUUGUCGUUUCUCAUUGGAUGGUCAGCAUUCUGCUACCGUAGUAACGGACCACGUCCACUCUUCCACGCAUGGGGAAAAUGGAAAUUGCCAGAGUAGAAAUGGGCUGUCAUGUGUGUGUGCUAAAGAAGGGGAGUCCAAUUUGGAAACCGGUUCCUUUGUGAUGACGGGAGAUGAUUGGAGAUCUAUUUUCACCUCAACCCGAAAGAGGACUCUGACCCGACUGUUGGGUCGAAAGCUAUUUUUGUUUUCCAAUCGCGUAUUGCAUCUGAUAAAGGAGAUCGCCAUCGACUAUCGGCUCUUUGAUUCGGAAGGAAAAUGCCCCUGUAAACCUGGAAGGAAGCGCGAAUGAGGAAAGUCACGUGACGAGCAGGGUUAAUAUUUAUCGGGUGCGUGUUGAAAGUUAAAUAAUUCAUCGCUUUCUCUUGUUGAGUGAUUUUGAUGAAUCGCUAGUUUUCGUUUCUCUCCUGAGAUGUUAUCUUCCCCGCAGUCAACCGCGUACCAAGGAGAAAGCGCAAUUUCAGGAGUUAAACGUAAAUGAUUUCUCCACUUUGAAUGUUUUUCGAAAAAUCCCGAGAAGAUCGGAUUAAGUAAGCGGAGAAUAAAAGCUAAAAUUCUCCAAUUUUCAAUGGCAUAAACCAAGUUAAAAUAUCAAACGAUAAGUUAUUGAAUACAUCAACGUCAAUCGUAUCUUCCUAUUUAACAAUAUCAAAUGGUUUUUGAUCUUUCGUACAAAUUCUGGUUUCAUACCAGGCUAGUUAAGUACGUGGAGAGAAAUUCUCGGGCCUCGCUAAACAGCACUUCAUCAUGCAGAAUUAUUCGAGUCUCCAUUCUCUUCAUUCCACUUCGACUAAGAUGCAUUACAUGGCAUCGGAGCGAAAGAACGAAUAAAAGAAUGCUUAAUUAAAGUCUUGGCCAGGACAUUCUUGCCAAGCAGAGAUUCACCGGAAGUGAACGAAGGAAACGGAAAUAGUGAGUGAUCGAUUAAUCUCCCCAGGCUAAUUUCUCUAAUUUCCUUUUUCCUAUUUCGGAAUCGGAUCUUCCGCCGAUCGUUCCGACCUGCCAUAGUCACGUGAUAUUCCAACGGUCCUAUAUGUGUCCGAGAAACGAUAAGCUCUCGAUAGAAUGUCGGUAAUAGGCGAAAACAGAAAUAAAUCCACUAUUUUACUUUAUAACGGAAGUAGAGCUGGCCAAGAUCUACCUGCUCCAUAUCUUUCCGUCUUUAAGUCUCAUCUGAGGGAGGGCAGUCGUGGUCUGGGAGCAUUUAUCUCCCGAGAGAAGAAAAGUCAUUUUCUGAUUUGAGAAAUGUUCUCUGUUCACUGCUGGACUAACGAUCAAAUGCGAAAGAUAGCGACAAUCGAGAUAGCGGUUAACCAUACCCGCUCGCUGAUGUCCUACCAAAAAUUGCGUCUAUAUACUUUUUUCCCCACCUUCCCUAAUUUAUUUCUAAAUAAUUUUCCCCUUUCCGACUUAAAUACUUUACCAGAUAUUCUACUGUGUGUAUUAAAAUUGCCAUUUCCAUUCAAAGUGUUGCGCGGAAGAAAGAUUUACAAUGGAUCUUUCUCCGCCAUAUCCUUAUCC